AGCGAACGCUGGCGGCAGGCUUAACACAUGCAAGUCGAGCGGCCAUCCUUGUGGUGUCAGCGGCAGACGGGUGAGUAACGCGUGGGAACGUGCCCUUCGGUUCGGAAUAACUCAGGGAAACUUGAGCUAAUACCGGAUACGUGCGAGAGCAGAAAGGUUUAUCUGCCGAAGGAUCGGCCCGCGUCUGAUUAGCUAGUUGGUGAGGUUAUGGCUCACCAAGGCGACGAUCAGUAGCUGGUCUGAGAGGAUGAUCAGCCACACUGGGACUGAGACACGGCCCAGACUCCUACGGGAGGCAGCAGUGGGGAAUAUUGGACAAUGGGGGCAACCCUGAUCCAGCCAUGCCGCGUGAGUGAUGACGGCCUUAGGGUUGUAAAGCUCUUUUCUUCGGGACGAUAAUGACGGUACCGGAGGAAUAAGCCCCGGCUAACUUCGUG
rnacentral:rRNA from 1 species